CGAGCCUGAAAUUUAUGUUUGGACUGAAAAUACUUGCUCAAGUCUGACCUCCAUUGCUCUUCAUGAGAACACACUGACCACCUGGGCGAGCCUACGGCCAGUGCCGCUGUCUGGCAAAAUCUCGGUGAGAUCAGAUCUGUGUCACUGCCCAGCCCUGCUUUUGACAUCUGCCUGUGCUUAUGAGCUCCCUGCUCCCUCUUUCCCCGUGAUCCUCUCCGACUGUGGAUAAAAUCCUCAGUCCUUUCCACUUUGACUCUUCCUUUUUGCCAGUAAGUUUCAAACCUACAACUCAAAUCCUGACCUUUCUCCUGAAACCAGAUACCUGUUUUUAAUUUCUAUUUCCAGGUUCAAUGAUCAGCUCACACUCAACAAGUCCGAAACAGAACUCAUCAGUCUCCUGGUACUGUUGAUGGCACUACCAUUGUGCCAGUCAUCUGCCCUUGACAAUCUCCACAUUAUUUGGGCUGCCCUUCUUUCCCUCAUCCUCCAUGUACACUGAGUCAUGGAGCAAAAUCCCUUUCCUUCAUAAUGUCUGCGUGUGCCAGAAGCUGCGUGAGCUUCUGAAGGUACAACAAAAAUCAAGAUGUGAUCCCUGACUUGAAGAGCUUGGAUCCUACCAGAGGAACAAUCCAAGGCAGAAAGUGCUGAGUGCCACAUCAGCGGCAGCAGAGAAAGGACUAAGGGAGCCUGGUAGAGACAGCUUCAUGUCUGCUAUUGGGGAUCAGGGAAGAGUCGUGGUAGAACAGCCACAGUGCAUCAUGAGAAAAGAGACCCAGGAGAGCAACUGACUGAAGUGCUCUUGGAAUGACGACUUCAGUUUGCUGGUGCAUUGGGUCAAAGCACCGGGGAAACAUGGUUGAGGACUGUAAUAGUGGUCAUGUUUUAUACUUCCUCUCUCUCUGUCUCUCUCGGUGCCCGGGCUGGAGAGAAGAACACAGUGGUUCCAUGCUCAGAUGGGAGGUCGUCUAGCUUCCUAAGCCGGCACAAAGCAAUAAUAUUCCCGGGAAGAGAGACACUUGUUCUGAGGGCUCAAGUCAUCCUCUGGAGUCAUUGGCCAUUUCCUGCAGGCUGGGGAGGUGGUGACAGCCACGCAAAUGGUGGAGAUCAUCUUGAGUUUACCACUGGUCCAAGUCCAUGGAGUUGGGUUACUUGGAUAUGGGCACCCCCAUAUGUCUAACGCCUUCCAAGAUAUUAAGUGUCAU
rnacentral:lncRNA from 1 species